GGCUGCUAUUACCGCGCUCAAUUUACUUGCUGCGUUGUUCUUAAUGGGAUAGAAACGCUUAACAUAGUUAGUGCAAUUCCGGAGGCUUCUCACUCAUUGCAUGAGGUUCCGUUGUUUUGUGCAUUGCAGCUAUGGUAUACUCCCAGUUGUGUUGUCUACUGGGAGAGCUCAGCCCAUCGACUCGUUCGAAUGCCUCACAGAGGCCAUUAGGCUGCACCUUGAAUGAGCCAAUACAAUCAGGUCACCUGCCGCUUAUCACACCGACUGACUACAAAAGUUCCCUCCUUUCGAGAAAACGACGUCUUCAAAAACGAGUAUAAUUCGCUCCUCCGAUCCCUAACGUGCUGCCCUGUCCAGUUGAGUGACAGGUCAAAAGGACCAGGAUAUCUGCUGACGUACUGAGUCACUAAGGUCGAGGCGAUUGCUGACUCAUCUGGAAAAUAAAAACAAACGCUGAGUUCCCU
ensembl:lncRNA